AUACGUAGGGGGCGAGCGUUGUCCGGAAUGAUUGGGCGUAAAGGGCGCGUAGGCGGCCCGGUAAGUCUGGAGUGAAAGUCCUGUUUUUAAGAUGGGAAUUGCUUUGGAUACUGUCGGGCUUGAGUGCAGGAGAGGUAAGUGGAAUUCCCAGUGUAGCGGUGAAAUGCGUAGAGAUUGGGAGGAACACCAGUGGCGAAGGCGACUUACUGGACUAUAACUGACGCUGAGGCGCGAAAGCGUGGGGAGCGAACAGGAUUAGAUACCCUGGUAGUCCACGCGGUAAACGAUGAAUGCUAGGUGUUGCGGGUAUCGACCCCUGCAGUGCCGGAGUAAACACAAUAAGCAUUCCGCCUGGGGAGUACGGCCGCAAGGUUGAAACUCAAAGGAAUUGACGGGG
rnacentral:rRNA from 1 species